rnacentral:rRNA from 1 species
ACGGGUGAGUAACACGUGGGCAAUCUGCCCUUCACUCUGGGACAAGCCCUGGAAACGGGGUCUAAUACCGGAUACCACUUCCACUCGCAUGGGUGGGGGUUGAAAGCUCCGGCGGUGAAGGAUGAGCCCGCGGCCUAUCAGCUUGUUGGUGAGGUAAUGGCUCACCAAGGCGACGACGGGUAGCCGGCCUGAGAGGGCGACCGGCCACACUGGGACUGAGACACGGCCCAGACUCCUACGGGAGGCAGCAGUGGGGAAUAUUGCACAAUGGGCGAAAGCCUGAUGCAGCGACGCCGCGUGAGGGAUGACGGCCUUCGGGUUGUAAGCCUCUUUCAGCAGGGAAGAAGCGAAAGUGACGGUACCUGCAGAAGAAGCGCCGGCUAACUACGUGCCAGCAGCCGCGGUAAUACGUAGGGCGCAAGCGUUGUCCGGAAUUAUUGGGCGUAAAGAGCUCGUAGGCGGUCUGUCGCGUCGGAUGUGAAAGCCCGGGGCUUAACCCCGGGUCUGCAUUCGAUACGGGCAGACUAGAGUGUGGUAGGGGAGAUCGGAAUUCCUGGUGUAGCGGUGAAAUGCGCAGA